rnacentral:rRNA from 1 species
UACGUAGGGUGCGAGCGUUAAUCGGAAUUACUGGGCGUAAAGCGUGCGCAGGCGGUUUUGUAAGCCAGAUGUGAAAUCCCCGGGCUCAACCUGGGAAUGGCAUUUGGGACUGCAAGGCUGGAGUGCGGCAGAGGAGACUGGAAUUCCUGGUGUAGCAGUGAAAUGCGUAGAUAUCAGGAGGAAUACCGAUGGCGAAGGCAGGUCUCUGGGCUGACACUGACGCUCAUGCACGAA